rnacentral:lncRNA from 1 species
CUCAUUGGGGAUUCUGGGGUUAUAAUACAGGAAUUGUGGGUAAGUACAGUCACUUCUGCUCCAUGAAAGUGAGGUCAUCAUUCGUUUCAGGAAGUUGAGUGAGGCCUGAGACAGCAAUGUUUCGUUUAGCCUGGCGGUGGCCCUCCUUGUCUUCAAGAAGAGCAUCCGUGGCUAGCAGUGGAAGAUGGGGUUGGGCCCCAGGUGAGUGACCCUUUGUCGAGUUUGCAGAAUUUGGUCUUGGCGGGUUGAGGAUCUCUUGUAUUUUGUGCGCUCUGUUCCUGCUCCAGGACUGACCAGGCAGUUCUGCCACCUUCUAGGAGUGUGAAAUUGGGAAGUAAUUCAAAAUGUAUGUGCCUAGCAUUCCUUUUAUGUAACAUGAGGGGAAUAGAAGUACCAAACCGAUGCAGUUCAGUGGAGAAUUAAAUGAGAUAGUCACAAGUAAAAGGUGGAGGGAGACACAGUUCUGGUUUCUCGCAGAUGGUCACAGGAAUGAGGAAAGAAUGACUCUGGCUCCUAGCAGCAGAAUCUUAACUGAGUAUGACUUAGCAUCCUUCUUCUUGCUGUGUCAUCUCUCUUCUCAGGGCAGAAGAUAUUUACUAAUUAGCACAUUCUGCUAGCACAUCUGUGGGAAAAGAGACGCGAUCUUACUGCAUUGACCAG